rnacentral:rRNA from 1 species
UUACUAUAUGUACUGAUAUUGGCGUAAGAGCUCGUAGGCGGUUUGUCGCGUCUGCUGUGAAAGACCGGGGCUCAACUCCGGUUCUGCAGUGGGUACGGGCAGACUAGAGUGCAGUAGGGGAGACUGGAAUUCCUGGUGUAGCGGUGAAAUGCGCAGAUAUCAGGAGGAACACCGAUGGCGAAGGCAGGUCUCUGGGCUGUAACUGACGCUGAGGAGCGAAAGCAUGGGGAGCGAACAGGAUUAGAUACCCUGGUAGUCCAUGCCGUAAACGUUGGGCACUAGGUGUGGGGGACAUUCCACGUUUUCCGCGCCGUAGCUAACGCAUUAAGUGCCCCGCCUGGGGAGUACGGCCGCAAGGCUAAAACUCAAAGGAAUUGACGGGGGCCCGCACAAGCGGCGGAGCAUGCGGAUUAAUUCGAUGCAACGCGAAGAACCUUACCAAGGCUUGACAUGAACCGGUAAUACCUGGAAACAGGUGCCCCGCUUGCGGUCGGUUUACAGGUGGUGCAUGGUUGUCGUCAGCUCGUGUCGUGAGAUGUUGGGUUAAGUCCCGCAACGAGCGCAACCCUCGUUCUAUGUUGCCAGCGGUUCGGCCGGGGACUCAUAGGAGACUGCCGGGGUCAACUCGGAGGAAGGUGGGGACGACGUCAAAUCAUCAUGCCCCUUAUGUCUUGGGCUUCACGCAUGCUACAAUGGCCGGUACAAAGGGUUGCGAUACUGUGAGGUGGAGCUAAUCCCAAAAAGCCGGUCUCAGUUCGGAUUGGGGUCUGCAACUCGACCCCAUGAAGUCGGAGUCGCUAGUAAUCGCAGAUCAGCAACGCUGCGGUGAAUACGUUCCCGGGCCUUGUACACACCGCCCGUCAAGUCACGAAAGUUGGUAACACCCGAAGCCGGUGGCCUAACCCUUGUGGGGGGGAGGCCGUCGAAGGUGGGACCGGCGGAUUGGGACUAAGUCGGUACAAAGGUAACA